GAUGAACGCUGGCGGCGUGCCUAAUACAUGCAAGUCGAGCGAACAGACGAGGAGCUUGCUCCUCUGACGUUAGCGGCGGACGGGUGAGUAACACGUGGAUAACCUACCUAUAAGACUGGGAUAACUUCGGGAAACCGGAGCUAAUACCGGAUAAUAUAUUGAACCGCAUGGUUCAAUAGUGAAAGACGGUUUUGCUGUCACUUAUAGAUGGAUCCGCGCCGCAUUAGCUAGUUGGUAAGGUAACGGCUUACCAAGGCAACGAUGCGUAGCCGACCUGAGAGGGUGAGCGGCCACACGGGAACUGAGACACGGUCCAGACUCCUACGGGAGGCAGCAGUAGGGAAUCUUCCGCAAUGGGCGAAAGCCUGACGGAGCAACGCCGCGUGAGUGAUGAAGGUCUUCGGAUCGUAAAACUCUGUUAUUAGGGAAGAACAAAUGUGUAAGUAACUAUGCACGUCUUGACGGUACCUAAUCAGAAAGCCACGGCUAACUACGUG
rnacentral:rRNA from 1 species